UACUGAGUCGUCGACACGAGUUGUUGCUGGUCCUCAAAUCGGGGGCAUGUGCACGCUCUGUUUACACAUCCACUCACACCUGUGCACCCUCUGUAGUUCUAUGGCGUGGGGGAUCUUGUCUUCCUGCUGUGGUUCUGCAUCUUUACAACACACAAUGUGAUAGAGUCUCAUGGAAUGUACAUCGCGUUUAACGCAAUACAAUACAACUUUCAGCAACGGAUCUCUUGGCUCUCGCAUCGAUGAAGAACGCAGCGAAAUGCGAUAAGUAAUGUGAAUUGCAGAAUUCAGUGAAUCAUCGAAUCUUUGAACGCACCUUGCGCCCUUUGGCUAUUCCGAAGGGCAUGCCUGUUUGAGUAUCAUGAACACCUCAACUCUCAUGGUUUGCCAUGAUGAGCUUGGACUUUGGGAGUUUUGCUGGCUGAUGGUCAGCUCUCCUCAAAUGAAUCAGCUUGCCAGAGUUUUGGUGGCGUUCACAGGUGUGAUAAAUAUCUACGCUUGUGGGUUCCCAUCAUGCAACCUUCAGCGAUGAAGGUUCGCUGGAGCUUAUAGAUGUCUCUCUUAGUGAGGACAGCUUUUUGAAGUUUG
rnacentral:misc_RNA from 1 species